rnacentral:rRNA from 1 species
UNNACUCCCUACCCUUAUGUGACCUACCUAUUGUUGCUUCGGCGGACUCGCCCCAGCCGGACGCGGACUGGACCAGAGGCCGCCGGGGACCCUCAAACUCUUGUAUUAUCAGCAUCUUCUGAAUCCGCCGCAAGGCAAAACAAAUAAAUCAAAACUUUCAACAACGGAUCUCUUGGCUCUGGCAUCGAUGAAGAACGCAGCGAAACGCGAUAAGUAAUGUGAAUUGCAGAAUCCAGUGAAUCAUCGAAUCUUUGAACGCACAUUGCGCCCGCCAGCAUUCUGGCGGGCAUGCCUGUUCGAGCGUCAUUUCAACCCUCGACCUCCCUUUGGGGAAGUCGGCGUUGGGGACCGGCAGCACACCGCCGGCCCUGAAAUGGAGUGGCGGCCCGUCCGCGGCGACCUCUGCGUAGUAAUCCAACUCGCACCGGAACCCCGACGUGGCCACGCCGUAAAACACCCAACUUCUGAACGUUGACCUCGAAUCAGGUAGGACUACCCGCUGAACUUAAGCAUAUCAAUAAGCGGAGGAA